rnacentral:rRNA from 1 species
UACGUAGGGGGCUAGCGUUGUCCGGAAUCAUUGGGCGUAAAGAGCGUGUAGGCGGUCCGGUAAGUCCGCUGUGAAAGUCGGGGGCCCAACCCUCGAAUGCCGGUGGAUACUGUCGGGCUAGAGUGCGGAAGAGGCGAGUGGAAUUCCUGGUGUAGCGGUGGAAUGCGUAGAGAUCGGGAAGAACACCAGUGGCGAAGGCGGUCUGCUGGGCCGUUGCUGACGCUGAGGCGCGACAGCGUGGGGAGCAAACAGG